CAAAUGUUCAGGUCCAAGCCUCUGAAAACAGGCUGAAAUACGGUCAUGAGUCUACUUAGUAUAACUCCUCUUUCUUAAACUAAGAGGUACGUCUUAGUCUCUGUGAAUAAUUUGCAAUUAAAAGAAAGCCAGCAACAGCUAAAUCCACAGCCAUUAAUUUUGGCAAGAAGCGUGGAAUGUGCUCACAGCGUACUGCUGCUUGGUCAAAGGGGGAGCGCUUAAAAGUUGCUCAGAGAAAGUGCCUGCAGGAAAACCUGCCUGUGCCUCCUCUCCAAAGCGGCUGUAUUUGGAAUAUGAAAAUCUGGUCUCUGGAGAACGGGAGAAGAAAAACAGAGAAGCCACAUCCCAUGCAAUUUCAGCUGACUGGUACCUCUUAAUACUCUUCCAGCUCUAGAGCCAGGCUCAGACUUGCAGAGACUCCCAGUGCAUCAUGAAGAUGGCACAUUCAGAGACUCGUCCAUUCCUGGUUACCUGCUCUCCCGAAUCGAGAAUCCCACUGCCGCUGCGUUAGUGCACAAGCACAAGCACUGGAGUCCUGGAACCAUGAGCGCAUAAAUCGCUACCGCUUCCGAAGUUGAAGGAAAAAAGAGAGAGAAAUGAAGAAAAAUUAAAACAGCAACAUAAACUUUAAGGGAAAAAAGUCAAAACUAGAUUUGCUUGUUACUUCUCAGGAAAAAAGUGUCUUCCAUCCUCCUCUCCCCUCCCCCCCUUAUUUUGCUGUUCAUAAGGGACAGGAGUAAUACUUGGUGGGGAAUGCUUCUAAGGCCUUGGUUGCACUGACGCUUAAGCAUAGCUGCAUUGACCGAGAGUGAGUAAAGGUGCUCAGAAAUACGCCCACAGCAAGGGCAGGCACAUAUGAGAAAUCACAACAUAACUUUGGGAUUCUGUCCCCCUUUUAAGCACUUUUGAAAACUGUCACCCUCUAAUCAGCAGUAGCAGCUGAAAUCUCAAGGCCAUAGAGCAGAGUUUACAAUUAACCCUGGAAUUUGGAAUUUAAAUAUUGACCAUGUUUUUGAGAAAGCCAUGAAUGGUCACCUCUAAAUGUGAGUAUUUGCCCCAUCAGCUGAACAAAUCCUUCCCCUUUCUUUUCUCCUUCUCCAUUUCCUAGUCUUCUCAGAGUCACGCUGGAAGAUUUCACAGUUUUUAAGACUCACAAGCUCAGGUUUGCAACUUCAUCUGCUCCCAGUAAAGAACAGGGAUCACUUGCAAACUCCAUGACUCUCAAACUAGUGCAAUCAAUUUUGCUUCUCCCAGCUUGAAGGGGUUAAAACACUUAGUGACCCUGCAUACAGACAAGUUAUUUGUUUACUUUUACAAAUAGAUCAUAUGCUCCUGUCCAAACAGUUCUACUCUUUUUAAUUGGGAUGGACAAGAUGA
rnacentral:lncRNA from 1 species